rnacentral:rRNA from 1 species
AGAUUGAACGCUGGCGGCAUGCCUUACACAUGCAAGUCGAACGGCAGCACGGGAGCAAUCCUGGUGGCGAGUGGCGAACGGGUGAGUAAUAUAUCGGAACGUGCCCAGUCGUGGGGGAUAACGCAGUGAAAGCUGUGCUAAUACCGCAUACGAUCUAUGGAUGAAAGCGGGGGACUCGCAAGAGCCUCGCGCGAUUGGAGCGGCCGAUAUCAGAUUAGCUAGUUGGUGGGGUAAAAGCCCACCAAGGCGACGAUCUGUAGCUGGUCUGAGAGGACGACCAGCCACACUGGAACUGAGACACGGUCCAGACUCCUACGGGAGGCAGCAGUGGGGAAUUUGGACAAU